rnacentral:rRNA from 1 species
UACGUAGGGGGCUAGCGUUGUCCGGAUUUAUUGGGCGUAAAGAGCGUGUAGGCGGCCAGGUAGGUCUGCUGUGAAAACUCGAGGCUCAACCUCGAGACGUCGGCGGAAACCAUCUGGCUAGAGUCCGGAAGAGGAGAGUGGAAUUCCUGGUGUAGCGGUGAAAUGCGCAGAUAUCAGGAAGAACACCCGUGGCGAAGGUGGCUCUCUGGGACGGGUACUGACGCUGAGACGCGAAAGCGUGGGGAGCGAACAGG